CCUACGGGUGGCAGCAGUGAGGAAUAUUGGGCAAUGGGCGCGAGCCUGAACCAGCCAAGUAGCGUGAAGGAUGACUGCCCUACGGGUUGUAAACUUCUUUUAUAAAGGAAUAAAGUGAGGCACGUGUGCCUAUCUGUGUGUACUUUAUGAAUAAGGAUCGGCUAACUCCGUGCCAGCAGCCGCGGUAAUACGGAGGAUCCGAGCGUUAUCAGGAUUUAUUGGGUUGAAAGGGAGCGUAGAUGGGUUGGUAAGUCAGUAGUGAAAGGUUGCGGCUCAACCGUAAAAUUGCAAUUGAUACUGGCAGCCUUGAGUACAGGUGAGGUAGGCGGAAUUCGUGGUGUAGCGGUGAAAUGCUUAGAUAUCAGGAAGAACUCCGAUGGCGAAGGCAGCUUACUAGACUGCAACUGACAUUGAUGCUCGAAAGUGUGGGUAUCAAACAGGAUUAGAUACCCCUGUAGUC
rnacentral:rRNA from 1 species